rnacentral:lncRNA from 1 species
UCAAAGUCAUGAACAUGAUCAGAUGUUUGAUAACAAGUUCUAGAAGCCUUUAAUCGUCAAUCAUUACAAGUUAAUGGCAGGUCAUAGUAAUUCCAUUCAACAUGAAACUGGAUAAAGUUUGUAUUGCGUAACAAUAACCGAAAUUUUGAGGAUGGAAUUAGCAAAGUAGAAUCUGGGGCAUGAACCAAUAGCCUCGUGUCUGAAAAAACAUACCACCACAAGAAAGUAACAAACACAUUAGGCUAAACCUUUGAGUAGUAUUCAACUAAAAGGAUGAACCAAGUGUAACAUUUAUUGCAUCUCGUGUUCAUCCUAAUCCAACCUGUAUGAUAGUAGAAGAGACAAAAUAGAUGGAAACACAAGUGGCAAAGAAAAUUUUGUAUUUAUAAAGGAAGACCAAAUAUCUACUAAGGUCUAAACUUGUAUUCCAAUAAACAACAUCAGCAGCAAGAAUAUAUACUAAAAAAGGGCAGCCCGGCGUACUAAGCGCCCGCUAUGCACGGGGUACGGGGAAGGGUUGGACCACAAGGGUCUAUCGUACGCAGCCUUACCCUACAUUUCCACAAGAGGCUAUUUCUACAGCUCGAACCCGUGACAUGCUGAUCACCUGGCGGCAACUUUAUCACUUACGCCAAGUCUCCCCUUCAGGAUAAACAUAUACUAUCUGAAAUAAAUAAAUGAAUAAACAUAUACCUGCUAUAUAUAAAAUAUAGUAUACGAGGGAAAAAAGCAAGUAAACAUCUUUGAACUUCAUAACUGCAAUUUCAACACUUCCUUCAGCAAAUAGGCUUACAGUCACAGCAGUGAGUGCCUCUCCCAAUUGAGGAAAAAUGACGAGACUUUACUAAAAACAUGAAAGUCCUAGGCUCUUAGCUACUAAUUUCUUCAAAGGACUGGAGAAAGCUAAAAUCUAAAAUCAAAACCAGAAAUAGAAACCAUUAAUUAAACAUUUCAGCAAACAAUAAUACCGAUGGUUUUUCAAAGAAAGGAAAAUCCCCUGAAAAUGACUGAGACGUAGAUUCUCAAGAAUCAAGCCGGCUAUAGACAAAACAUCUUCUAUUCAAUAGACAAAAGCUCAUACUAAUAAGAAACGCUGCUACAAAAAAAAAAUCAUCAACAAAAUUACCGAGUAUAUCAACAAAGUAGCCUUCUGCAUUCAGCAAGUUGGAGAGGAAUGAAGCAGUGGCUCCUUUGCCUUUUGUUCCA